rnacentral:tRNA from 1 species
GCCAGCAUGGUGUAGUGGUUUCAACAUUGGACUACAACUCUGGAGACCAGGGUUCAAUUCCCUGCUCAGCCA